rnacentral:lncRNA from 10 species
GGCGUGGCUUCGCGACUGCGGAAGGUUGCCCGGGCUGGCGCCGCUGGGCAGAGCCGGUGCGACGUUUCCCUUUCCAGCUUUGUUCUUCCGGCCCUGCUGUCUGCCUCCCCGGCUGAUUGGAUUCGUUACUGCUUUGCAACGCGCACCUAACUCCAGGCUGGAGUGCAGUGGCACAAUCUCAGCUUGCUGUGACCUCAGCUCUCUGCGACCUCUGCUUGCUGGACUCAAGCGAUCCUCCCACCACCUCAGCCUCCUGAGUAGCUGGAACCAUCAUAUGCACCAGCACGCCUGGCUAAGCUGGAAUGCAAUAGCGUGGUCUUGGCUCACUGCAACCUCCGCCUCCCGGGUUCAAGCAAUUCUCCUGCCUCAGCCUCCUAAGUAGCUGGGACUACAGCUUGAGGUCCUACCUGGUGUCCUCCAUGAGAAUCAUACAAGCCCCGCUACAGACAACAGAAUUGGAAGGUCCUGAGAGCUACCAGAAGCAUCUUCAGUUUUCAUAUGAAAAACUUAAGCCCAGGAGUGAUUUGUGCAGCCAAGGACACACAGCAAGUUAGUGGCUGCACCAGAAAUAGUACUCACUGCCUCAGACAGUCCCUCCCACAGUCUACUCUGUCUCCACCCCAAGGUCUGGUUCUGAAUCAUUCAGUUGUCAGUUGUCUCCUUUUUUUUUUUUUUUUUUGGAGACAGGGUCUCUCUCUGUGGCCCAGGCUGAAGUGCAGUGGUGUGAUUACAGCUCAUGUAGCCUGGACCUCCCAAGCUCAAGCAAUCCUCCUGCCUCUGCCUCCCAAGUAGCUGGGACCACAGGUGGGCAGCACCACACCUGGCUAAUUUUUUAAAUUUUUUUUUAUAGAGACAGGGUCUUACCAUUUGCCCCAGCUGGUCUCAAACCCCUGGGCUCAAGCAAGCCUCCUGCCUUGGCCUCCCAAAGUGCUGGGAUUACAGGUGUGAGCCACCACACCCGGCCUUAUCUCCUAACAUUUUGAUAGCACAAAAUUUUGAAAACCCACUUCUGUGUACGUUAUGAAGCAUAGAAAAUUAAACAGUAUGCACCAAAAAAAAAUAAAUACAAGUUAUAAUAUUUUCUUUCUGUCCCCACACUUAAAAGACCACUCUUCUAAACCAGGCCACAAUCAUUCAAGCAAAGGCAGGCACUUGGGGCCAUCCUCCUCCACUUUCCCCUAGGGAAAACAAACAAAACCAAAGGAAAAACAAAAACAAAAACAGGUUUUAAAGAGUGCAUGUUUCCCAGUUCCAGGGAAAAUUAUAGGCCAGAACACUGUUGUGGCAAACAUGCAUCCUUACAUACUGCAGGGUAAACCAAACAUGCAACAAACUAAAUUAAUAAUGAUGAAACCAAACUAACAGUAACUUAUAAUUAAAAAGCCAGAACGGCAGCUGCUGGAAACAGGAGCAGAUCCACCAUCCUCGAUGAAACUCUGAUAAUCAAAUACCCUUUCCCAAAAUGGCCAAAAUCCUUGCUCACAUAUUCCAGGUAGGUUCUUUGCUCUGUAGCCAAGAUGUGAGUAGCAGCCAGUCUUCCAUAAGCUACUGAAUUAUCUCCUUGGUAAAUUCUAAUUGUGGGGCU